GGGCGAUGAUUAUACCUUACCCGCGCUUCUGACAUUAAAUCAUGAAGCAUACGGGGGAAAAAUGGUUGAAUUUCUUGAUAUGAGCCC